rnacentral:rRNA from 1 species
UAGGGAAUAUUGCACAAUGAGCGAAAGCUUGAUGCAGCAACGCCGCGUGCGCGAUGACGGCCUUCGGGUUGUAAAGCGCUUUUCGGGGAGAUGAAGAAGGGCAGUAUCCCCGGAAUAAGUCUCGGCUAACUACGUGCCAGCAGCCGCGGUAACACGUAGGAGGCAAGCGUUAUCCGAAUUUACUGGGCGUAAAGCGCGUGCAGGCGGUUCGGUAAGUUGGAUGUGAAAUCUCCCGGCUCAACUGGGAGGGGACGCUCUAUACUGUCGGACUUGAGGACGAUAGAGGGAGGUGGAAUUCCCGGUGUAGUGGUGAAAUGCGUAGAUAUCGGGAGGAACACCAGUGGCGAAAGCGGCCUCCUGGAUCGUUCCUGACGCUCAGACGCGAAAGCUAGGGGAGCGAACGG